rnacentral:rRNA from 1 species
GACGAACGCUGGCGGCGUGCUUAACACAUGCAAGUCGAACGGAAAGGCCCUGCUUUUGUGGGGUGCUCGAGUGGCGAACGGGUGAGUAACACGCGAGUAACCUGCCCUUGACUUUGGGAUAACUUCAGGAAACUGGGGCUAAUACCGGAUAGGAGCUCCUGCUGCAUGGUGGGGGUUGGAAAGUUUCGGCGGUUGGGGAUGGACUCGCGGCUUAUCAGCUUGUUGGUGGGGUAGUGGCUUACCAAGGGUUUGACGGGUAGCCGGCCUGAGAGGGUGACCGGCCACAUUGGGACUGAGAUACGGCCCAGACUCCUACGGGAGGCAGCAGUGGGGAAUAUUGCAGAAUGGGCGGGAGCCUGAUGCAGCAACGCCGCGUGCGGGAUGACGGCCUUCGGGUUGUAAACCGCUUUCGCCUGUGACGAAGCGUGAGUGACGGUAAUGGGUAAAGAAGCACCGGCUAACUACGUG